GCGGCGUGCUUACCAUGCNAGUCGAACGGAAAGGCCCUGCUUGCAGGGUACUCGAGUGGCGAACGGGUGAGUAACACGUGGGUGAUCUGCCCUGCACUUCGGGAUAAGCCUGGGAAACUGGGUCUAAUACCGGAUAGGAGCCAUUUUUAGUGUGAUGGUUGGAAAGUUUUUUCGGUGUAGGAUGAGCUCGCGGCCUAUCAGCUUGUUGGUGGGGUAAUGGCCUACCAAGGCGGCGACGGGUAGCCGGCCUGAGAGGGUGGACGGCCACAUUGGGACUGAGAUACGGCCCAGACUCCUACGGGAGGCAGCAGUGGGGAAUAUUGCACAAUGGGCGCAAGCCUGAUGCAGCGACGCCGCGUGGGGGAUGACGGCCUUCGGGUUGUAAACUCCUUUCGCUAGGGACGAAGCUUUUUGUGACGGUACCUAGAUAAGAAGCACCGGCUAACUACGUGCCAGCAGCCGCGGUAAU
rnacentral:rRNA from 1 species